UGAUUCUUGCUGCCUCCUAUAAAGCACUUUUUUUCCCCCUUCUUUGACUGGGCUGUUAAUUUCCUUUCCUUCAUUCUUACCCACUUUUGGAAACUGAACAUUUUCCAGGUCUGUUGCUGUACUUGCAACUAGCCAACUCUUUUAUGAAUUAGGCAUUCACAAAGAUGUGCAGCAGUAGUGAGCAUGGAGGCCAGGAAUGCCUGGCUUCCUGUGGCCAACUUGGCAUCUGAUAAGCUGACAUGAACAACAGUUGAUCACCAUCCUCUGUAUAACAGCCCUUAAAAUGUGAAGACUUACCAGGUGCCCCCUCAAUCUUCUUUUCUCAAGAUGAAACUUGCCCAGCUUUUUAACCUGUCCUCACAGGGGACUCCAUUUAACAGCAUCUGCCCAUGGCAAGUUACGUAACCAGCAGGCAACAUCCUGAUUGUCACAGAUGAAAUCUGUAUAACAGUUUGGAG